UACAUGAAAAUGGAAUCAAUAUGUACUAACCCUGAAAAAUGUGGUGAAAAAUUGUCAAGUUCCUUCACAAGCUUGUGGAGGGUGCCAUACUAAUUACAUGGGGUAAAGUGAUUAUCUUCUACCAAUAUACCAGCGAUUUUUAGCCAAUGGCGAUUUACAAUCCAGCCAGCAAGUCCUUCCUUGUGAUUUGGUAUGGCUGAUGGAGAACAGGUUACUAAAAUCUUUUACAGUUAACAAAUGACUGAAAUAACGUGUGUUCAGAUACGCAUUGAAUUCUCAUAUGGACAUGCGCGGUUAAUGGCAUAAGAAAUGUAAAACUCGUGUUUUCAUAAAAAAGUUCGUAAAGGUUGAUGUUGCCAUUAAUCAAUUGAAUUUAACUGACCUAAAGUACUGACUUCUUUUUCCCCAAAUCUCUGUGCACCCAUGAUUAUCGUCAUUAUGUAGGUUGGUCCAUCUUGCGAUGUGUUUAGCACGCAAAUUUUAAUUUAAAGAAUGGCUGCUGGUUGGAUCCUCAGACAUUAGAGUAACAAUGAUGUCGACCUCUUUAGCAACGCAAAUAAUGAAUGAGAAUGCAGUGGAGUUCGUCAACAUUUGCCUACAUGUUCACGAUUUCUUUUUAAGUAAAACUGUAGGACUAAGGGAAGCCAUAGUAUGGCAGACUGACAUCCCUGUCCUACAUUUGAAAACUCCACGGGUAUUAAUGUAAAAGGACCCUAUAUUGAAAAGGAAAACUCAUCAACUGAGUAUGGGUAUACAUACAAAGUAAUUUGAAGAAUGACCGAUUUCAAGAUGUCGUCAUUUCGCUUUAGCACGUUUGAUAGAAGGCUAACAGGACAUUAGGAAAAUGAAAGACAUUUUGAAUAUUGAUCAGAUUAAUAGCUGUACAGAUCACGCACGCAUUAGGCAGUUAGAGGACAUCGCCAACAAAUAGUUAAAUGCAUGUAUUCUUCGUUUAAUAUUCGUGUUAUGUAGGCUAAAUGGAGAGCGGACUUUUUCGGUUUGUGCUUUACCGCAUUGCAUCUACUGAAUUCGGAUGCUGGAUCAAUAUGCUCCAGAUGCAACGGAUGGAAAGAUGACUGAAAUGCCAGAUAACUAGCACCAAGGACUGAACACGUGAUGCAUUCGGAAACAACAAACUUCUUGAGGAGUGCCCCAUCGGUUAGAUUUCCAACAACUACGACAACUUGGUGAACGAUAAUAGAACAUAAGCCAAUUAUCUCCGUCCCUCCUCGUUCUCUGUACCUCCUGCAUUUUCGGCGUUUCCAUUUGCACUUGUACGACAACGCACCUCGUCACGGUUGUCCCCUUCGUGAAGAAAACCGGACAGUGCAACGUGUGCAACUCAGUCUGGUGUUAAGUCCAUCAGUAUAGUUUGAACAGUUGCAUGAGUUAAUCAAAACUCUUUGUCCUCUACGAAUCUGCAUUGAGCCCUUCGAUUAAACUCCGAUUCGAAAUGGUGAAACGCCAACCGAGUAGCGGAAAUUUAUUGCCAAAACGUUCCGUACCUUUCGAUCACGGGAUCACGGCGGCUUUCCUUCUCAUUUUUGGUUCUUUCGGUCUGGCACUCGGCGGUACCAUGACGGGACUGUCCUACGGCUACGAAAAAAGAGACGGCUUUACUUCAGUGGCCGAGUCUUAUAACCUACGUUGUGACAUUGCCGGCCCGGUCAUAUUGGCCAGUGGUGGAAUCGGCAUUCUCUUGGCUUUGAUUCUAAUCUCAGUUUUUGAUGUUUGUUCUCAGCCGGAAUGGUCCAGUUGCGAAGCUGCUCCGUCAGUGCCUAGCGUCUCGCACGGUGUUGAAAUUCAUAUCGAUGGGAAUAACAGCACAGCAGGUGGACGUCGAUCUUAUUGAAAAUCGGUUCUCGACACCGGUUGAUUAUGUCUUUUAUUAUUAAAAUUGAAAAGUUUCUGCCCUGUUUGCAGUAUUUCGGUAAUUUAAUUUAAGUAAUCCCCUUUUGUGUUUAUUGCCACACGCCACAAGCGUAGCGCAAGGAAUUGAUUCAAAGAAUUUAAUAAAACCUGAUUUCGUUUUACGAUUAAACAGAAAGAAUGGCU